UAGUUGGUUGACUGAGAACUUGUUACUUU
rnacentral:piRNA from 1 species